rnacentral:rRNA from 1 species
AUACGGAGGAUGCGAGCGUUAUCCGGAUUUAUUGGGUUUAAAGGGAGCGUAGGUGGGAUAUUAAGUCAGCUGUGAAAGUUUGGGGCUCAACCUUAAAAUUGCAGUUGAUACUGGUUUCCUUGAGUACAGUAGAGGUGGGCGGAAUUCGUGGUGUAGCGGUGAAAUGCUUAGAUAUCACGAAGAACUCCGAUUGCGAAGGCAGCUCACUGGACUGCAACUGACACUGAUGCUCGAAAGUGUGGGUAUCAAACAGGAUUAGAUACCCUGGUAGUCCACACAGUAAACGAUGAAUACUCGCUGUUUGCGAUAUACAGUAAGCGGCCAAGCGAAAGCAUUAAGUAUUCCACCUGGGGAGUACGCCGGCAACGGUGAAACUCAAAUGAACUGACGGGG